UUGGAUCACCUCCUUAACAGGGAGACAAACAACGAUUUUGAUGUCUGAGUUAUUUAUUCUUAGGCCAAAAUCCUGUCACAUUAGGUCGAUCGGUACCUCAACCUUUUGAGCUAAGAGAGUUCCAGCAAUGGUUGUCUGCUUAGUGGAGAUUUUUAGUUCCUAAACUUUGUCUAGUUCACAACCCAUUAGAGAUGAGACUCCUGGGCCAUUAGCUCAGGUGGUUAGAGCGCACCCCUGAUAAGGGUGAGGUCCCUGGUUCAAGUCCAGGAUGGCCCAUUCGGUGUAGGGGGUUUAGCUCAGUUGGUAGAGCGCCUGCUUUGCAAGCAGGAUGUCAGGAGUUCGAGUCUCCUAACCUCCACUGACUACCAAAAUCCCCAUCUCCAAAACCUGGAGUAUGAACUCGUAUGGAUUGUGAUUUAGAUGUGUCCGCUAGAUGACCCUAGCUUCUUGUCAUUUUAAGGCAUGGAAAUGAUUCCAUGAUAUUUAAUUGAUAGGAUGCUGGGCUCGAUGCAAUGUAUUGAGAGAUCAAUGCAUUGUUUUGAUGUCUGGCCGAACCUUGACAACUGCAUAGUAAGUCUGGAAAGAAUAAAGCAUCUUUAUGGAUGCAUCAUUCUUGAGUGUUAAUUCACGAUGGGAUGGUGUUAAUUCUAAGCAAGAGCCGAGACUCCAGCAUGUUCUUUCAAAUGUGUCGAGCAUUUGAGAGUUUGAUUUUAAUUUCUACUUGUAGAAGUUAGAAGAAUCUGUUUCAACGACAGCAAGCGUGUUGGAGAUACAUUGGUCAAGCUACAAAGGGCUCACGGCGGAUACCUUGGCACACAGAGGCGAUGAAGGA
rnacentral:tRNA from 1 species